rnacentral:rRNA from 1 species
GACGAACGCUGGCGGCGUGCCUAAUACAUGCAAGUAGAACGCUGAAGAGAGGAGCUUGCUCUUCUUGGAUGAGUUGCGAACGGGUGAGUAACGCGUAGGUAACCUGCCUUGUAGCGGGGGAUAACUAUUGGAAACGAUAGCUAAUACCGCAUAACAAUGGAUGACCCAUGUCAUUUAUUUGAAAGGGGCAAAUGCUCCACUACAAGAUGGACCUGCGUUGUAUUAGCUAGUAGGUGAGGUAACGGCUCACCUAGGCGACGAUACGUAGCCGACCUGAGAGGGUGAUCGGCCACACUGGGACUGAGACACGGCCCAGACUCCUACGGGAGGCAGCAGUAGGGAAUCUUCGGCAAUGGGGGCAACCCUGACCGAGCAACGCCGCGUGAGUGAAGAAGGUUUUCGGAUCGUAAAGCUCUGUUGUAAGUCAAGAACGAGUGUGAGAGUGGAAAGUUCACACUGUGACGGUAGCUUACCAGAAAGGGACGGCUAACUACGUGCCAGCAGCCGCGGUAAUACGUAGGUCCCGAGCGUUGUCCGGAUUUAUUGGGCGUAAAGCGAGCGCAGGCGGUUUGAUAAGUCUGAAGUUAAAGGCUGUGGCUCAACCAUAGUUCGCUUUGGAAACUGUCAAACUUGAGUGCAGAAGGGGAGAGUGGAAUUCCAUGUGUAGCGGUGAAAUGCGUAGAUAUAUGGAGGAACACCGGUGGCGAAAGCGGCUCUCUGGUCUGUAACUGACGCUGAGGCUCGAAAGCGUGGGGAGCGAACAGGAUUAGAUACCCUGGUAGUCCACGCCGUAAACGAUGAGUGCUAGGUGUUGGAUCCUUUCCGGGAUUCAGUGCCGCAGCUAACGCAUUAAGCACUCCGCCUGGGGAGUACGACCGCAAGGUUGAAACUCAAAGGAAUUGACGGGGGCCCGCACAAGCGGUGGAGCAUGUGGUUUAAUUCGAAGCAACGCGAAGAACCUUACCAGGUCUUGACAUCCCGAUGCUAUUUCUAGAGAUAGAAAGUUACUUCGGUACAUCGGUGACAGGUGGUGCAUGGUUGUCGUCAGCUCGUGUCGUGAGAUGUUGGGUUAAGUCCCGCAACGAGCGCAACCCCUAUGGUUAGUUGCCAUCAUUCAGUUGGGCACUCUAACGAGACUGCCGGUAAUAAACCGGAGGAAGGUGGGGAUGACGUCAAAUCAUCAUGCCCCUUAUGACCUGGGCUACACACGUGCUACAAUGGUUGGUACAACGAGUUGCGAGUCGGUGACGGCAAGCUAAUCUCUUAAAGCCAAUCUCAGUUCGGAUUGUAGGCUGCAACUCGCCUACAUGAAGUCGGAAUCGCUAGUAAUCGCGGAUCAGCACGCCGCGGUGAAUACGUUCCCGGGCCU